CACAGCUCCCGAGCCAAGAAGGCAAAGGAGCUCUUGCAGGGGGAGGACUGAUCUACAGGACACCUCUGGGCCAGGGCUACUCUUCCUGCCCAAAGGGACUCCUUCUAUGGGAGACUUGCACUGUGCAGAGAGGGACUACUACAUGUGCCUGGGACCAAAAACUGCAGCCAUGCAAGGAAACGUGAGUGACCCAGUUACCAGCACAGCUGCUGGCUCCCCGGGGAAGGGGACCCAGGAACCCGAUGUGCACAGGAGUAGCUGGGGCACGUGGCUGGCCCUUUACCUUCAAACAACAGGACCUCAUGUUCUUUAUAGUUUCCUCAGUGUUUCUGGGUGCCCUGUGCCUUCACAAUGAUACCCUAAGAAGAAGAGGAAAAUCCUCCCAACUUGGUAAAAACACAAGGGCACAGAGAGGGGGCAACAGACCCGAGAUCACCCAGCAAGUUGGACACACAUAGGAUUCAAAUGGAGGAUUCAAACUCAGCCCCCAGCUUGGAAUAUAAAGGCACAUUCUCAAGUCACCACGAGGACAGAGUGGGCCUGAAUGCCAGCCUGGCUCUCCUUCCCCAUAACCUGUCUGCCUAGCUGACCCUCCAACUUCCAGGACCUUUGGGCCUGCUCUGGCACCGGCUUGCUCUGUGACCCUGGCCUACAUGCUUUACCCCUCUGUGCCUGCUGCUGGGUGAUUUGAGAAUAGUUGGAGGCAGGAGAUACAAAAAGUCUCACAGAACAACUCAUCCCACACUCUGCCCUGGGUUGGGGGAGCCCACGUGGAGGCCUCAGAGGACAGCGGCUGGCAAAUAGCAAGGGCUGAAUAAAUGGCUGCUGAAUGACACAUGAAAUACUCCCUGGAGAACCACUACCCUGCAGCAAUCUUUCUUCCAGGUCAGUAAAUGCAUCAGAUGUUAGGUAUUCCACCUUGAGCUCAGGUUUGUAAAUGAAAGGACUCUAGACAAUAUUCAACUAAAACAUUCUCAGCGGGGUUACUCAGCCAAGUCCACACCAGGAGACAGGCAGAUGGGCUCUCACUGAUGGGAAACUGGAACUCA